UACGUAGGGGGCUAGCGUUGUCCGGAAUCAUUGGGCGUAAAGGGCGCGUAGGUGGCCCGGUCAGUCAGUGGUGAAAGCGCGGGGCUCAACUCCGCGUCGGCCAUUGAUACUGCUGGGCUUGAGCACUGUAGAGGCAGGCGGAAUUCCGGGUGUAGCGGUGGAAUGCGUAGAGAUCCGGAAGAACACCGGUGGCGAAGGCGGCCUGCUGGGCAGUGGCUGACACUGAGGCGCGACAGCGUGGGGAGCAAACAGG
rnacentral:rRNA from 1 species